UAAUUGCUAACAACAGUUUCAAUUUUCGUUUAGGACUGUGGCUGCAUCACCGGCAUCUUGCACAAGAAAGGCACGCGAGUGUCGUGUUUUGAGUUCCCUGGAAAAUCAUACUGAGACUGCGAAUACACCACACUCGCCUUUACGUGCAUCUCUCACAGGAAAGGGACACAGAUGUGACAGUAACAGUGGAAAAGAACCUGUGGCAAAGAGAGCUAAAGUAAAUAAGCAUCCCACUUGGUCAUAGAAAACAGAGGCUGAUGUUGACAUGGCUUUACAGGCUCUGAGAUUCGUGCCCACACAGGAACCUGGACCACAGCUAAGACCACAUGAUGCACACACUCCCAUGAGUUUAUUCAAAAAGUUUUUUUCUGAAACUGCAGUGUCAACUCUGUGUCGAAACACCAAUGGUCAGGCUGCCAGGGCAAGUACAAACUACUGACAGCAGGACGAUCUUUUCUCUGUUCCUUUUCCUGCCACAAUCAUGUCAAGGGACAGAUACCGCACCAUUUCAUGGAACCUGCACAUGAGUCACCCAGAUGCAGACCAGGACAAUGACAGCAAGAGGGGCAUAGCUGAACACGACCGUCUUUUCAGGGUCAGACCCCUCAUGAACACUAUCCGGUAUGCAUGUAAGGCCAUCUAUCAUCCAAGAAAAAAUUUGGCAGUGGAUGUAAGAAUGGUGGUAUGCAAUGCAAACACAGGAAUGACUCAGUACAUGAAAGCCAAGCCAACCAGGUGGGGCUUCAAGUUGUUUGUUCUUGCGGACUCAUCAAAUAGAUAUAUUGUAGACUUUGCUGUUUACACAGAAAAGAACAACUUUCCCACAAGCCAUGGACUGUCAUAUGACGCCGUGACACCUCUGUUAGACCAUACA